UACGUAGGGUGCGAGCGUUAAUCGGAAUUACUGGGCGUAAAGCGUGCGCAGGCGGUUCGUGAUGUCUGAUGUGAAAGCCCCGGGCUCAACCUGGGAACUGCAUUUGUGACUGCAUGGCUAGAGUGCGGCAGAGGGGGAUGGAAUUCCGCGUGUAGCAGUGAAAUGCGCAGAUAUCAGGAGGAACACCGAUGGCGAAGGCAGGUCUCUGGGCAUUAACUGACGCUGAGGAGCGAAAGCAUGGGGAGCGAACAGG
rnacentral:rRNA from 1 species